rnacentral:misc_RNA from 1 species
UCCGGCUUAUCACCGGCAGUCGCCUUAGAGUGCCCAACUAAAUGAUGGCAACUAAGGCCGAGGGCUGCGCUCGUUGCGGGACUUAACCCAACAUCUCACGACACGAGCUGACGACAGCCAUGCAGCACCUGAGCAGGAUGGUAUUGCUACCUCGUUGGGCUUUCACCCUUCUACUACCUGCAUGUCCAGCCUGGGUAAGGUUCUUCGCGUUGCGUCGAAUUAAACCACAUGCUCCACCGCUUGUGCGGGCCCCCGUCAAUUCCUUUGAGUUUCAACCUUGCGACCGUACUCCCCAGGCGGUCUACUUCUCGCGUUAGCUGCGUUACUAAGGGACUCAAACCCCCCACACCAAGUAUCCAUCGUUUAGGGCUAGGACUAC